CACAUAAAGGAAAUUUCAAUUCCCUUUUUCUUAUAAAUAGUAAUCAUUUCUUUUAUCUUAAAAAUUAUAUACAAACUUUUGAAAUGUAUCUUAAAACUUUCUAAAGCUUUAAUUAAACUUAAAGAGUCGGUGAGAAUAAGAAACUUUUGAUGACUAUUUACAUGACUUAUAAUUUUAAUGGCCUCUAAGACUGCAUAUGCCUCUGCAGAGAAAAUACUAAAGUUACCGUUCAGAACAAAGCUUUGGACAAAUUUGGUUUGAGGAUUAUAAACAGCACUACGUACAUGCAAAAUGCGAGACAGUUCGGGAGGAUGGCCAUUGAGAAGAUCAGCACCUGUUGUUAGAGGCUCCCUACAGUUUAAUUCGCAAGGUCAGAUAUGAGAGAAAGGAAGCUGUCUGCGCAGCUCCUACCCUUCCUGAAGCCAUAUUGCACAUGAGGAAUGAUGCCGUUAGAUUCAACAAACCAGUCAAGUCGACACUUAAUAAUAUUUUCAAAUAUUUUGCCUAUACAUGAAGACAAGGAUAUAGGUCGAUAUGAAUCGGCGUUAUUUGGAGGUUUACCAGGCUUAAGGACUGGGAUCACACAUUGCGUUUUCCAAGACUGCGGAAUUAUUUGUUUCGACCAUAAUGCAUUGAAGAUGGUUAAUAAAAUAUCUAGUACUGUUGAAUCCAAAUUUUUUAUUAAUAUAUAGGGAAAAUCGUCUAAGCCAGGGCUAGUAUUUUUACGUGAUAAAAGACUUGAUAAGAAUUCAUUUCUUGAAAAUGGUUGCAAAAGAAAUUUUGAAUUUUCGUUGUUAUUAUUGAGAUUGAAGUAAUCAUCAAGAUUAUCUAACAAAACU